GGAGUCUAGCAUGUGCGCGAGUCAUUGGGACUUGCGAAACCUAAAGGCAAAAUGAAAGUGAAGGCGUGCCUCGCGCGCGUCUAGGGAGGAUGGUCCGGGCCUCGGUCCGGACUCGCACUCCCGGGGCGUUUCGUUCUCAUCGCGAGAUGAGGCGCACCCAGAGCGUACACGCUGGGACCCGAAAGAUGGUGAACUAUGCCUGGUCAGGACGAAGUCAGGGGAAACCCUGAUGGAGGUCCGUAGCGAUUCUGACGUGCAAAUCGAUCGUCGGAACUGGGUAUAGGGGCGAAAGACUAAUCGAACCAUCUAGUAGCUGGUUCCCUCCGAAGUUUCCCUCAGGAUAGCUGGCGCUCGCUUUGCGAGUCUCAUCCGGUAAAGCGAAUGAUUAGAGGCAUUGGGGUCGAAACGGCCUCAACCUAUUCUCAAACUUUAAAUGGGUGAGAUCUCCGGCUUGCUUGAAACGUGAAGCCGCGAGAUAAAAUAUUCGGAUCAGAGUGCCAAGUGGGCCAUUUUUGGUAAGCAGAACUGGCGCUGUGGGAUGAACCAAACGCAGAGUUAAAGCGCCCAAAUCGACGCUUAUGGGAUACCAUGAAAGGCGUUGGUAACUUAAGACAGCAGGACGGUGGCCAUGGAA
rnacentral:rRNA from 1 species